rnacentral:misc_RNA from 1 species
CAGAGUUCAUGCCCUUACGGGUAGAUCUCCACCCUAUGUUAUCGUUACCAUUGUUGCUUUGGCGGGCCGUCAGGCCUCGGUCUGGCUACCGGCUUCGGCUGGCAAGCGCCCGCCAGAGGAAAUCAAACCUUGAAUUUAGUGUCGUCUGAGUACUAUAUAAUAGUUA